rnacentral:rRNA from 1 species
GAUGAACGCUGGCGGCGUGCUUAACACAUGCAAGUCGAGCGAAGCAGUUAAGAAGAUUCUUCGGAUGAUUCUUAACUGACUGAGCGGCGGACGGGUGAGUAACGCGUGGGUGACCUGCCCCAUACCGGGGGAUAACAGCUGGAAACGGCUGCUAAUACCGCAUAAGCGCACAGAGCUGCAUGGCUCGGUGUGAAAAACUCCGGUGGUAUGGGAUGGACCCGCGUCUGAUUAGGCAGUUGGCGGGGUAACGGCCCACCAAACCGACGAUCAGUAGCCGGCCUGAGAGGGCGACCGGCCACAUUGGGACUGAGACACGGCCCAAACUCCUACGGGAGGCAGCAGUGGGGAAUAUUGCACAAUGGGGGAAACCCUGAUGCAGCGACGCCGCGUGAGCGAAGAAGUAUUUCGGUAUGUAAAGCUCUAUCAGCAGGGAAG